CCUGGUUUAGGAGAUCUCGGGCUCAAGCCCAGGUUCUUGUGUUGAGCAAGCCCUCUGCCUACUGAACUAUAGAACCAGACCCUCUUUCCCAAAGCUGUUUUAUCUGCCCCUCUAGGUCCCUGAGGAGGAGUACAUCCCAAGAUUCUCCCAACACUCCCCACCCUCCGUCCUCCUAGGGUUCCCUGGAGACAAGGGCAACAGCCACAAACAAGGUUGGGGACACCUCGAUAUAUGGGGAGAAGUUGUAGAGAAAAAGACAUUGCUGUGCAGCUGAACUGGGAGUGGAGACUGUUCCUACACGCAGCAGAAGACAGCUUGGAGACCCAGAAGUGGUGAUGGCGAGGUACUGUUAGCCAAAGGCAAAUCUAGCAGAGAACCAGAUGCCAAAAAGCAGAAGCCUUGGCACCAAGACACCCGCAGCAGAGGCAGCACGGCUUGAGCACCCUGAAGUCUACCUUCUUCAUCUGCAUAGAUGGAGAAAGCAAGGUCUGAGGCCCGCAGCAAGCCCCUUCCCCCAAGCUCUCGCUGCCGCCUUCCAGGGAGCAGGUUGCUGGGGGCCAGGUCCCCUCCCCGAGGGCGGCUCAGCUGGGAGGGGCCAAACCUAUUUGUUCAACAGUGUGGAGACAUUAUUCACUCCUAGGAGGCGGGGGAAGUCCAGGAGAACUCUUAAAGCGGUCUGUUUCGGGUGUGAUGAGGUCACGGAAGGCUUCACUUCCCCAAGCUGACGGGAACUGGGUCUUUUUUUUGUUUUGUUUUGUUUUU